rnacentral:rRNA from 1 species
AUUGAACGCUGGCGGCAGGCCUAACACAUGCAAGUCGAACGGUAACAGGAAGAAGCUUGCUUCUUUGCUGACGAGUGGCGGACGGGUGAGUAAUGUCUGGGAAACUGCCUGAUGGAGGGGGAUAACUACUGGAAACGGUAGCUACUACCGCAUAACGUCGCAAGACCAAAGAGGGGGACCUUCAGGCCUCUUGCCUUCGGAUGUGCCCAGAUGGGAUUUGCUAGUAGGUGGGGUAACGGCUCACCUAGGCGACGAUCCCUAGCUGGUCUGAGAGGAUGACCAGCCACACUGGAACUGAGACACGGUCCAGACUCCUACGGGAGGCAGCAGUGGGGAAUAUUGCACAAUGGGCGCAAGCCUGAUGCAGCCAUGCCGCGUGUAUGAAGAAGGCCUUCGGGUUGUAAAGUACUUUCAGCGGGGAGGAAGGGAGUAAAGUUAAUACCUUUACUCAUUGACGUUACCCGCAGAAGAAGCACCGGCUAACUCCGUG